UACGUAGGGGGCAAGCGUUGUCCGGAUUUAUUGGGCGUAAAGAGCGUGUAGGCGGCCAUGUAGGUCCGUUGUGAAAACUCGAGGCUCAACCUCGAGACGCCGAUGGAAACCAUGUGGCUAGAGUCCGGAAGAGGAGAGUGGAAUUCCUGGUGUAGCGGUGAAAUGCGUAGAUAUCAGGAGGAAUACCGAUGGCGAAGGCAGGUCUCUGGGCUGACACUGACGCUCAUGCACGAAAGCGUGGGGAGCAAACGGG
rnacentral:rRNA from 1 species